rnacentral:rRNA from 1 species
AACGAACGCUGGCGGCAUGCCUAACACAUGCAAGUCGAACGAGACCUUCGGGUCUAGUGGCGCACGGGUGCGUAACGCGUGGGAACCUGCCCUUAGGUUCGGAAUAACUCCCCGAAAGGGGUGCUAAUACCGGAUAAUGUCUUCGGACCAAAGAUUUAUCGCCUUUGGAUGGGCCCGCGUUGGAUUAGCUAGUUGGUAGGGUAAAAGCCUACCAAGGCGACGAUCCAUAGCUGGUCUGAGAGGAUGAUCAGCCACACUGGGACUGAGACACGGCCCAGACUCCUACGGGAGGGAGCGGUGGGGAAUAUUGGACAAUGGGCGAAAGCCUGAUCCAGCAAUGCCGCGUGAGUGAUGAAGGCCUUAGGGUUGUAAAGCUCUUUUACCCGGGAUGAUAAUGACAGUACCGGGAGAAUAAGCUCCGGCUAACUCCGUG